UGGGGAAUAUUGCACAAUGGGCGCAAGCCUGAUGCAGCCAUGCCGCGUGUAUGAAGAAGGCCUUCGGGUUGUAAAGUACUUUCAGUCGGGAGGAAGGUGGUAAGGUUAAUAACCUUGGCAAUUGACGUUACCGACAGAAGAAGCACCGGCUAACUCCGUGCCAGCAGCCGCGGUAAUACGGAGGGUGCAAGCGUUAAUCGGAAUUACUGGGCGUAAAGCGCACGCAGGCGGUUGAUUGAGUCAGAUGUGAAAUCCCCGGGCUUAACCCGGGAAUUGCAUCUGAUACUGGUCAGCUAGGGUCUUGUAGAGGGGGGUAGAAUUCCAUGUGUAGCGGUGAAAUGCGUAGGGAUGUGGAGGAAUACCGGUGGCGAAGGCGGCCCCCUGGACAAAGACUGACGCUCAGGUGCGAAAGCGUGGGGAGCAAACAGG
rnacentral:rRNA from 1 species